AGAGUUUGAUCCUGGCUCAGGAUGAACGCUAGCGGCAGGCCUAAUACAUGCAAGUCGAACGAGAUUGGGGAGCUUGCUCCCCAUGAAAGUGGCGCACGGGUGCGUAACGCGUAUGCAACCUACCUUAAUCAGGGGGAUAGCCCGAAGAAAUUCGGAUUAACACCGCAUAAUAUAAUUGAAUGGCAUCAUUUAAUUAUCAAAUAUUUAUAGGAUUAAGAUGGGCAUGCGUGACAUUAGUUAGUUGGUGAGGUAACGGCUCACCAAGACUACGAUGUCUAGGGGAUCUGAGAGGAUGACCCCCCACACUGGUACUGAGACACGGACCAGACUCCUACGGGAGGCAGCAGUAAGGAAUAUUGGUCAAUGGGGGCAACCCUGAACCAGCCAUGCCGCGUGCAGGAAGACGGCCCUACGGGUUGUAAACUGCUUUUAUUCGCGAAUAAACCUUUCUACGUGUAGAGAGCUGAAUGUACCGAAGGAAUAAGGAUCGGCUAACUCCGUGCCAGCAGCCGCGGUAAUACGGAGGAUCCAAGCGUUAUCCGGAUUUAUUGGGUUUAAAGGGUGCGUAGGCGGCUUAUUAAGUCAGGGGUGAAAGACGGUGGCUCAACCAUCGCAGUGCCUUUGAUACUGAUGAGCUUGAAUACACUUGAGGUAGGCGGAAUGUGACAAGUAGCGGUGAAAUGCAUAGAUAUGUCACAGAACACCAAUUGCGAAGGCAGCUUACUAAAGUGUUAUUGACGCUGAGGCACGAAAGCGUGGGGAUCAAACAGGAUUAGAUACCCCCGUAGUCC
rnacentral:rRNA from 1 species